GGACGCAGCAGUGGGAAUAUUGGGCAAUGGACGCAAGUCUGACCCAGCAACGCCGCGUGAAGGAAGAAGGCUUUCGGGUUGUAAACUUCUUUUAAGGGGGAAGAGCAGAAGACGGUACCCCUUGAAUAAGCCACGGCUAACUACGUGCCAGCAGCCGCGGUAAUACGUAGGUGGCAAGCGUUGUCCGGAUUUACUGGGUGUAAAGGGCGUGCAGCCGGAGAGACAAGUCAGAUGUGAAAUCCACGGGCUCAACCCGUGAACUGCAUUUGAAACUGUUUCCCUUGAGUGUCGGAGAGGUAAUCGGA
rnacentral:rRNA from 1 species